rnacentral:rRNA from 1 species
GAUGAACGCUGGCGGCGUGCCUAAUACAUGCAAGUCGAGCGAACGGACGAGAAGCUUGCUUCUCUGUUGUUAGCGGCGGACGGGUGAGUAACACGUGGAUAACCUCCCUAUAAUACUGGGAUAACUUCGGGAAUCCGGAUCUAAUCCCGGAUGAUCUUUUGAUCCGCGUGGUUCAAAGGUGAAAGACGGUCUUGCUGUAACUUAUAGAUGGAUCCGCGCCGCAUUAGCAAGUUGGUAAGGUACCGGCUUACCAAGGCUAGUAUGCAUAGACGAACUGAGAGAGUGAUCGGCGACACUGGAGCUGAGACACCGUCCAGACGACUAAGGGAGGCAGCAGUAGGGAACGUGCGGCAAUGGGCGAAAGCCUGACGGAGCAGGGCCGCGUGAGUGAUGACGGUGUCCGGAGCGUAAAACCCUGUUAUGAGUGAAGAACAGAUGUGGACGUAACUGUGCACAGCGUGACGGUACUUAAUCAGAAAGCACCGGCUAACUACGUG